rnacentral:rRNA from 1 species
AACUUCUGAAUGUUGACCUCGAAUCAGGUAGGAAUACCCGCUGAACUUAAGCAUAUCAAUAAGCGGAGGAAAAGAAACCAACAGGGAUUGCCCCAGUAACGGCGAGUGAAGCGGCAACAGCUCAAAUUUGAAAUCUGGCUCUCGGGCCCGAGUUGUAAUUUGUAGAGGAUGCUUUUGGUGAGGUGCCUUCCGAGUUCCCUGGAACGGGACGCCAUAGAGGGUGAGAGCCCCGUCUGGUUGGACACCGAUCCUCUGUAAAGCUCCUUCGACGAGUCGAGUAGUUUGGGAAUGCUGCUCUAAAUGGGAGGUAUAUGUCUUCUAAAGCUAAAUACCGGCCAGAGACCGAUAGCGCACAAGUAGAGUGAUCGAAAGAUGAAAAGAACUUUGAAAAGAGAGUUAAACAGUACGUGAAAUUGUUGAAAGGGAAGCGCUUGUGACCAGACUUGGGCUUGGUUGAUCAUCCGGGGUUCUCCCCGGUGCACUCUUCCGGCCCAGGCCAGCAUCAGUUCGCCCUGGGGGACAAAGGCUUCGGGAAUGUGGCUCUCUCCGGGGAGUGUUAUAGCCCGUUGCGUAAUACCCUGUGGCGGACUGAGGUUCGCGC